GAUGAACGCUGGCGGCGUGCCUAAUACAUGCAAGUCGAGCGAACAGACGAGGAGCUUGCUCCUCUGACGUUAGCGGCGGACGGGUGAGUAACACGUGGAUAACCUACCUAUAAGACUGGGAUAACUUCGGGAAACCGGAGCUAAUACCGGAUAAUAUAUUGAACCGCAUGGUACAAUAGUGAAAGACGGUUUUGCUGUCACUUAUAGAUGGAUCCGUGCCGCAUUAGCUAGUUGGUAAGGUAACGGCUUACCAAGGCAACGAUGAGUAGCCGACCUGAGAGGGUGAUCGGCCACACUGGAACUGAGACACGGUCCAGACUCCUACGGGAGGCAGCAGUAGGGAAUCUUCCGCAAUGGGCGAAAGCCUGACGGAGCAACGCCGCGUGAGUGAUGAAGGUCUUCGGAUCGUAAAACUCUGUUAUUAGGGAAGAACAAAUGUGUAAGUAACUAUGCACGUCUUGACGGUACCUAAUCAGAAAGCCACGGCUAACUACGUG
rnacentral:rRNA from 1 species